AUUGAACGCUGGCGGCAGGCCUAACACAUGCAAGUCGAGCGAGCGGCGGACGGGUGAGUAAUGUAUGGGGACUGCCCGAUAGAGGGGGAUAACUACUGGAAACGGUAGCUAAUACCGCAUACUAUCAGCUAACCCAUAUGGGAUUAGCUAGUAGGUGAGGUAAUGGCUUACCUAGGCGACGAUCCCUAGCCGGUCUGAGAGGAUGAUCAGCCACACUGGGACGGAGACACGGCCCAAACUCCUACGGAGGCAGCAGUGGGGAAUAUUGCACAAUGGGCGAAAGCCUGAUGCAGCCAUGCCGCGUGAAUGAAGAAGGCUUUAGGGUUGUAAAGUUCUUUCAGUCGGGAGGCGUUACCGACAGAAGAAGCACCGGCUAACUCCGUGCCAGCAGCCGCGGUAAUAC
rnacentral:rRNA from 1 species